rnacentral:rRNA from 1 species
AUAAUUUUAUUCUUACUUGUUCUUAUUAUUUAUUUUUACAGAAAAAUCUUUUUAUUUAGUAUAUUAAAGAAUAAUGAAUAUUGUUAUAGUAAAUUAGUACCGUGAGGGAAUUUGAUGAAAUAUUAUUAAAAUUUAAUUUUUUUUAAGUAUGUUUAUUUUACAGUACCUUUUGUAUCAGGGUUGGUCAAAUUUAUUAAUUUAUAUUUUUUUAUCGAUUUCAAAAGAGCUAAUUUUUUAAUUUACUCAAUGUUUCAUAAUUGUUAAUAAUAGAAAUUAGAAGGGAAAUCCUAUUCGAUUUUGAGGGUAUCUAUUUUUUUAAGAAUUAAAUUCAAUUUAGCCUUCUUAUUUAACAUUCACAUUUUAGUGACUGUUAUCUGGGCAGAGAAAAAUUAUAGGGGAUAAGCUCUAUACUAUUCUAUAAAUUUAUCAUUAUUUAAUUUUUAGUAGGGUUGCAAGUAUCCAUCAUUAUAAAUUGUGUUAUAACUUAGAUUAAAUAUAUUUUGAUUUUAUUUUUUUUUAGUUUCCUAUUAAAAUACUAAAAUUAACUUUUUAUUUUAGGAAAUAAUGAUUAAAUUAGUAUAAAAACUUGUUUUUAAUUUUAAUAAGUCAUGAUGAAGUAAGGAACUCGGCAAAUGUAGUCCUCGCCUGUUUAACAAAAACAUGUCCUUUGAAUUUAAUUGAAGGUCUGACCUGCCCAGUGAUUAUUUCAACGGCCGCGGUAUAUUGACCGUGCAAAGGUAGCAUAAUCAUUAGUCUUUUAAUAGAAGGCUGGAAUGAAAGGUUUGACGAGGGACUGACUGUCUCACUUUAUUUGUAUUAGAAUUUAAUUUUUUAGUCAAAAAGCUAAAAUUUUGUUGGUAGACGAGAAGACCCUAUAUAUCUUUAUACUUAAUUUUACCAUUAUUGUUAUAUAAAUACUAUGGUUGGAUAAAGUAUUUUGUUGGGGUGACAAAAAUAUAUGAAUAACUUUUUUAUUUACAUAACAUUGAUUUAUGAUUAUUAGAUCCAUUAUUGUUGAUUAUUAGACUAAGUUACCUUAGGGAUAACAGCGUAAUCCUCUUUCAGAGUUCAUAUCAAAAAGGGGGCUUGCGACCUCGAUGUUGGAUUAAGAUAAUAAUUGGGUGUAGCCGCUCAAUGUAUAGGUCUGUUCGACCUUUAAC